AAGCGUUGUUCGGAUUUAUUGGGCGUAAAGCGCGUGUAGGCGGUUUGUUAAGUCUGUUGUGAAAGCCCUGGGCUCAACCCGGGAAGUGCACUGGAUACUGGCAAACUUGAAUACGGGAGAGGAGAGUGGAAUUCCUGGUGUAGGAGUGAAAUCCGUAGAUAUCAGGAGGAACACCGGUGGCGAAGGCGGCUCUCUGGACCGAUAUUGACGCUGAGACGCGAAAGCGUGGGGAGCAAACAGGAUUAGAUACCCUGGUAGUCCACGCCGUAAACGAUGAGUACUAGGUGUUGCGGGUAUUGACCCCUGCAGUGCC
rnacentral:rRNA from 1 species